GAUGAACGCUAGCGACAGGCCUAACACAUGCAAGUCGAGGGGCAGCACGGGAGUAGCAAUACAACUGGUGGCGACCGGCGCACGGGUGAGUAACACGUAUGCAACCUACCUGUAAGAGGGGAAUAACCCGGAGAAAUCCGGACUAAUACCGCAUAAUACUGAUUUUCUGCAUGGAAUAUUAGUUAAACAUUUAUGGCUUACAGAUGGGCAUGCGUAUGAUUAGUUAGUUGGUGAGGUAACGGCUCACCAAGACAUCGAUCAUUAGGGGUUCUGAGAGGAAGGUCCCCCANACUGGUACUGAGACACGGACCAGACUCCUACGGGAGGCAGCAGUGAGGAAUAUUGGUCAAUGGGCGAGAGCCUGAACCAGCCAAGUCGCGUGAAGGAAGACGGUUCUAUGGAUUGUAAACUUCUUUUUGAAGGGAAUAAAGUGCACUACGUGUAGUGUUUUGAUGUACUUUACGAAUAAGGAUCGGCUAACUCCGUGCCAGCAGCCGACGG
rnacentral:rRNA from 1 species